rnacentral:rRNA from 1 species
UACGAAGGGGGCUAGCGUUGCUCGGAAUCACUGGGCGUAAAGGGUGCGUAGGCGGGUCUUUUAAGUCAGGGGUGAAAUCCUGGAGCUCAACUCCAGAACUGCCUUUGAUACUGAGGAUCUUGAGUUCGGGAGAGGUGAGUGGAACUGCGAGUGUAGAGGUGAAAUUCGUAGAUAUCGGGAGGAACACCAGUGGCGAAGGCGACUACCUGGCCUGUUCUUGACGCUGAGGCGCGAAAGCUAGGGGAGCAAACGGGG